rnacentral:rRNA from 1 species
GAUGAACGCUGGCGGCGUGCCUAAUACAUGCAAGUCGAGCGAACGGACGAGAAGCUUGCUUCUCUGAUGUUAGCGGCGGACGGGUGAGUAACACGUGGAUAACCUACCUAUAAGACUGGGAUAACUUCGUGAAACCGGAGCUAAUACCGGAUAAUAUUUUGAACCGCAUGGUUCAAAAGUGAAAGACGGUCUUGCUGUCACUUAUAGAUGGAUCCGCGCUGCAUUAUCUAGUUGGUAAGGUAACGGCUUACCAAGGCAACGAUGCAUAGCCGACCUGAGAGGGUGAUCGGCCACACUGGAACUGAGACACGGACCAGACGCCGACGGGAGGCAGCAGAAGGGAAUCUUACGCAAUGGGCGAAAGCAUGACGGAGCAACGCCGCGUGAGUGAUGAAGGUCUUCGGAUCGUAAAACUCUGUUAUUAGGGAAGAAAAUAUGUGUAAGUAAAUGUGCACAUCUUGACGGUACCUAAUCAGAAAGCAACGGCUAACUACGUG